rnacentral:tRNA from 1 species
GCUUUCGUAGUUCAAAGGUAGAACACUCGACUGAUAAUCGAGCAAUAUAGGUUCGAGUCCUCUCGGAAGCA